CGGACGGGUGAGUAAUGUCUGGGAAACUGCCUGAUGGAGGGGGGUAACUACUGGAAACGGUAGCUAAUACCGCAUAACGUCGCAAGACCAAAGAGGGGGACCUUAGGGCCUCUUGCCAUCGGACGUGCCCAGAUGGGAUUAGCUAGUAGGUGGGGUAACGGCUCACCUAGGCGACGAUCCCUAGCUGGUCUGAGAGGAUGACCAGCCACACUGGAACUGAGACACGGUCCAG
rnacentral:rRNA from 1 species